UACGUAAGGUGCAAGCGUUGUCCGGAAUUAUUGGGCGUAAAGAGCUCGUAGGCGGUUUGUCGCGUCUGCUGUGAAAAUCCAGGGCUUAACCCUGGACCUGCAGUGGGUACGGGCAGACUAGAGUGCGGUAGGGGAGAUCGGAAUUCCUGGUGUAGCGGUGAAAUGCGCAGAUAUCAGGAGGAACACCGGUGGCGAAGGCGGAUCUCUGGCCCGAUACUGACGCUGAGGCACGAAAGCGUGGGGAGCAAACAGG
rnacentral:rRNA from 1 species